rnacentral:rRNA from 1 species
GUUGUGAAAUGUUGGGUUAAGUCCCGCAACGAGCGCAACCCUUAUCCUUGUUUGCCAGCGAGUCAUGUCGGGAACUUCAGGGAGACUGCCGGUGAUAAACCGGAGGAAGGUGGGGACGACGUCAAGUCAUCAUGGCCCUUACGAGUAGGGCUACACACGUGCUACAAUGGCGCAUACAGAGGGCGGCGAACUUGCGAGAGUGAGCGAAUCCCAAAAAGUGCGUCGUAGUCCGGAUCGGAGUCUGCAACUCGACUCCGUGAAGUCGGAAUCGCUAGUAAUCGUGGAUCAGAAUGCCACGGUGAAUACGUUCCCGGGCCUUGCACACACCGCCCGU